rnacentral:rRNA from 1 species
GUGCCAGCCGCCGCGGUAACACGUAGGCACCAAGCGUUGUCCGGAUUUAUUGGGCGUAAAGAGCUCGUAGGCGGUUGAGUAAGUCGGGUGUGAAAACUCUGGGCUUAACCCAGAGCCGCCACCCGAUACUGCUCUGACUUGAGUUCGGUAGGGGAGCAGGGAAUUCCUAGUGUAGCGGUGAAAUGCGCAGAUAUUAGGAGGAACACCGGUGGCGAAGGCGCUGCUCUGGGCCGAUACUGACGCUGAGGAGCGAAAGCGUGGGUAGCAAACAGGAUUAGAUACCCUGGUAGUCCACGCCGUAAACGUUGGGCACUAGGUGUGGGUCUCAACCAACGAGAUCCGCGCCGUCGCUAACGCAUUAAGUGCCCCGCCUGGGGAGUACGGCGGCAACGCUAAAACUCAAAUGAAUUGACGG